GCGGCCGUGGGCGGGACGGGCGGCCAGGUGGCUUCGCCGCCAGGUGGCAGGCGUGCGCCGCGCCCGCAGGUUCCAGCCCCGACCCGGGCGCGCAGGGCCGACCAGGUUCGGGUCGGGUCGGGUGUGCGGUGGCGGUUCCGCUCCUGGUUGCCUCGCUCUGGGUGCCAGGGCGCGGGUAGCUGCCCCGGGGUUCUGCUCACCUGGGAGGAAAGCCACGGGCACUGAGCGCCUCCUGAGAGCCAGCCCUGACGUGAACUCAUUUUAUCUGCCACGACCCAGAAGGAGUCUACUGCUAAGAUUUCAGCAUGUCCUAUGGCUGAAUUAAUUAGAGUUAUGAUAGGAAGGUACCUGGCACACCAUCGCAGUGCUCCAUCAAUGCUAGUACGUUGUGUUGUUUCCUUCACAUCAAGUCAACUCAAGCUUGCUCUACUUACCUGGUGUACACAGUCUAAGAACUGUAAGAAGACUGGAGCAAAACCACUCCCCUGACAGUUGAGGGUCAAGCUGCUCCGCUGACUGAAUUUAUGACCAAAAGAGAGCCACUCUUUUUCAACCAACAUCCGGAAGCCUUCAAGUGUCCUAUAAAAGGGAUCACUGAGUAACUGAACCAGGGAUGUCACCUAGGGCACAAACAGGAUGGAUUGUUAUUAAUUUUAGUUCUGAAAAAGUCCUAUUACUAAGAUAAAAGCACUUCCUUCUGAUAAUAGCUAAUUCACAAAUUUACCUGGACAGCAAAUUUGUUCACUAACCAUUCCAGGAUGGCCAAUAAAAUGAAUUCUGUAAGCUUUCCAGUAAAAA